rnacentral:rRNA from 1 species
UACGAAGGGGGCUAGCGUUGCUCGGAAUUACUGGGCGUAAAGCGCACGUAGGCGGUCUUUUAAGUCGGGGGUGAAAUCCUGGAGCUCAACUCCAGAACUGCCUUCGAUACUGGAAGACUUGAGUCCGGGAGAGGUGAGUGGAACUGCGAGUGUAGAGGUGAAAUUCGUAGAUAUUCGCAAGAACGCCAGUGGCGAAGGCGGCUCACUGGCCCGGUACUGACGCUGAGGUGCGAAAGCGUGGGGAGCAAACAGG